rnacentral:rRNA from 1 species
ACAGUGGACGCGAGCAUCUGUGGCCAAGUUUUUAAGGGCGCACGGUGGAUGCCUUGGCACCAGGAACCGAUGAAGGACGUGGGAGGCCACGAUAGGCCCCGGGGAGUCGUCAACCAGGCUUUGAUCCGGGGGUGUCCGAAUGGGGAAACCCGGCAGUCGUCAUGGGCUGUCACCCUUGCCUGAACACAUAGGGCAAGUGGAGGGAACGCGGGGAAGUGAAACAUCUCAGUACCCGCAGGAAGAGAAAACAACCGUGAUUCCGGGAGUAGUGGCGAGCGAAACCGGAUGAGGCCAAACCGUAUGCGUGUGAGACCCGGCAGGGGUUGCGCAUUCGGGGUUGUGGGAUCUCUCUUUCAUGGUCUGCCGGCCAUGAGGCGAGUCAGAAACCGUUGAUGUAGGCGAAGGACAUGCGAAAGGUCCGGCGUAGAGGGUAAGACCCCCGUAGUCGAAACGUCAGCGGCUCGUUUGAGAGACACCCAAGUAGCACGGGGCCCGAGAAAUCCCGUGUGAAUCUGGCGGGACCACCCGCUAAGCCUAAAUAUUCCCUGGUGACCGAUAGCGGAUAGUACCGUGAGGGAAUGGUGAAAAGUACCGCGGGAGCGGAGUGAAAUAGUACCUGAAACCGUGUGCCUACAAGCCGUGGGAGCGUCGCGCAAGGACUUGUCCUUGCGUCGUGACUGCGUGCCUUUUGAAGAAUGAGCCUGCGAGUUUGCGGUGUGUUGCGAGGUUAACCCGGGUGGGGAAGCCGUAGCGAAAGCGAGUCCGAACAGGGCGCUGUAGUAGCACGCUCAAGACCCGAAGCGGAGUGAUCUAGCCAUGGGCAGGUUGAAGCGGAGGUAAGACUUCGUGGAGGACCGAACCCACCAGGGUUGAAAACCUGGGGGAUGACCUGUGGUUAGGGGUGAAAGGCCAAUCAAACUCCGUGAUAGCUGGUUCUCCCCGAAAUGCAUUUAGGUGCAGCGUCGUGUGUUUCUUGCCGGAGGUAGAGCACUGGAUAGGCGAUGGGCCCUACCGGGUUACUGACCUUAGCCAAACUCCGAAUGCCGGUAAGUGAGAGCGCGGCAGUGAGACUGUGGGGGAUAAGCUCCAUGGUCGAGAGGGAAACAGCCCAGAGCAUCGACUAAGGCCCCUAAGCGUACGCUAAGUGGGAAAGGAUGUGGAGUCGCACAGACAACCAGGAGGUUGGCUUAGAAGCAGCCACCCUUGAAAGAGUGCGUAAUAGCUCACUGGUCUAGUGAUUCCGCGCCGACAAUGUAGCGGGGCUCAAGCGUACCGCCGAAGUCGUGUCAUU